rnacentral:tRNA from 1 species
AAAUAAGAAACAAAACUUGUAUUUAGUUUCGACCUAAAAUUUUGGCUCAAAGCCCUUAUUUU